rnacentral:rRNA from 1 species
GACGAACGCUGGCGGCGUGCCUAACACAUGCAAGUCGAACGGAGUGUUUAUUUAUAAACACUUAGUGGCGAACGGGUGAGUAACGCGUGGGCAACCUGCCCUUCAGACGGGGACAACAUUCCGAAAGGAGUGCUAAUACCGGAUACGACCUUUGAACCGCAUGGUUUAAAGAAGAAAGGUGGCCUCUACUUAUAAGCUACCGCUGAAGGAUGGGCCUGCGUCUGAUUAGCUAGUUGGUGGGGUAAAGGCCUACCAAGGCGACGAUCAGUAGCCGGUCUGAGAGGAUGAACGGCCACACUGGGACUGAGACACGGCCCAGACUCCUACGGGAGGCAGCAGUGGGGAAUCUUCCGCAAUGGGCGAAAGCCUGACGGAGCAACGCCGCGUGAGUGAAGAAGGUCUUCGGAUUGUAAAGCUCUGUUUAAAGGGACGAAUGGCAGAUUUGUGAAUAAUGAAUUUGCAUGACGGUACCUUUGGAGGAAGCCACGGCUAACUACGUGCCAGCAGCCGCCGUAA